AUUUAAAGGACUAGUUAUGAUUUCUAAGAUAUUGAUGAAUUUGCUAGUUGGAUUAAAAUAAAAUUUUGCACAUAAGUAAUAAACUUGACUUCCAACAAUUGUGCAAAUUUGAAACCUAUUGAAUGAUGAAUAUCAAUAUCAAUGUUGAAGAAGGAUGCCAAUUAAUACUUGAAUUAUUUUCUAUUUAGUAUGUUUGAUCUUCUUCAAAAAUUAUUGUCCUUGUUGCCAACUUAGUUAUUGAGAAGUAUGCAAAUUUUUAGUCAAAAUUAAAUAAUUAAGUCAUUAGUUAUUGAGACUUCAAUUAAUAGUAAGAUUUGUUAAAAGUUUGUUUAAGAUUUAAGAUUUGAUUAGGAUUUGGUUUAGUAUUGGAUUAGAAUUUGGUAUAUAAUUUAGUUAAUAUUUGGUUAAAAUUUCAUUAGAAUUUUAUUAGGAUUUGAUUUAAGAUUAUUUUACGAUUCAUUAAAAUUUCAUUAAGAUAAAUUUAAGGUUUGGGAUUUGAUUAGGAUUUAAUUAAGAUUUUAUUCAGAUUUAUUUUUAAAUUAUUUAGGAUUUAUUUAGA
rnacentral:lncRNA from 1 species